UGGGUCGGCUGGACGGUCGCGUCACGGGUUCGCCCGUGCCGAGGAACGUCCGGGCUCCACAGGGCAGGACGGUGGGUAACACCCACCCGGAGUGAUCCGCGAGACAGUGCCACAGAGAGCAGACCGCCCCCGCCCGUCAGGGCUGGGGUAAGGGUGAAAGGGUGGUGUAAGAGACCACCGGGGUCGUGGUGACACGACCCGCGAGGUAAACCUCGUCCGGAGCAAGGCCAGACAGGGGAUGACGACGCGGCUCGCCGAGUCCCCGGGUAGGCCGCUGGAGCGGCACGGCAACGUGUCGCCGAGAGAGAUGACCGUCCACGGGGCUCACGCCCCCGGACAGAACCCGGCGUACAGGCCGGCCCAUUCG
rnacentral:RNase_P_RNA from 2 species